UGGUGCCUUCGGGAACUGUGAGACAGGUGCUGCAUGGCUGUCGUCAGCUCGUGUUGUGAAAUGUUGGGUUAAGUCCCGCAACGAGCGCAACCCUUAUCCUUUGUUGCCAGCGAUUAGGUCGGGAACUCAAAGGAGACUGCCAGUGAUAAACUGGAGGAAGGUGGGGAUGACGUCAAGUCAUCAUGGCCCUUACGACCAGGGCUACACACGUGCUACAAUGGCGCAUACAAAGAGAAGCGACCUCGCGAGAGCAAGCGGACCUCAUAAAGUGCGUCGUAGUCCGGAUUGGAGUCUGCAACUCGACUCCAUGAAGUCGGAAUCGCUAGUAAUCGUGGAUCAGAAUGCCACGGUGAAUACGUUCCCGGGCCUUGUACACACCGCCCGUCACACCAUGGGAGUGGGUUGCAAAAGAAGUAGGUAGCUUAACCUUCGGGAGGGCGCUUACCACUUUGUGAUUCAUGACUGGGGUGAAGUCGUAACAAGGUAACCGUAGGGGAACCUGCGGUUGGAUCACCUCCUUA
rnacentral:rRNA from 1 species